rnacentral:rRNA from 1 species
AACGAGCGCUGGCGGCAUGCCUAACACAUGCAAGUCGAACGAGACCUUCGGGUCUAGUGGCGCACGGGUGCGUAACGCGUGGGAACCUGCCCUUAGGUUCGGAAUAACUCCCCGAAAGGGGUGCUAAUACCGGAUAAUGUCUUCGGACCAAAGAUUUAUCGCCUUUGGAUGGGCCCGCGUUGGAUUAGCUAGUUGGUAGGGUAAAAGCCUACCAAGGCGACGAUCCAUAGCUGGUCUGAGAGGAUGAUCAGCCACACUGGGACUGAGACACGGCCCAGACUCCUACGGGAGGCAACAGUGGGGAAUAUUGGACAAUGGGCGAAAGCCUGAUCCAGCAAUGCCGCGUGAGUGAUGAAGGCCUUAGGGUUGUAAAGCUCUUUUACCCGGGAUGAUAAUGACAGUACCGGGAGAAUAAGCUCCGGCUAACUCCGUG